GGGAAGUAUGGCGGCUGCUCGAACGCCGCGCGGCGGAGGCCAUUAAGGCGUGGACGGCCCGGGAAGGCGGCCUAGGGACGCAAGCAGGCUCGGCCGCCUCUUUCGGCCACGGAGCCGCGCAGAUCCGGUUCCCGGUUGACCACUCUGUCGCCAUUGGGCGAGACCUACCUAGUCCUGACGACAACGGACAAAGGCCUUAAGGGGCCUGAAAGCAACCUCCAGUCCUGCAAGCUUCAUUCCUGAAUGGUAGAAAGCAGUCUUCAGCCUGAGACCCAUCCCUAGACUCUAUGGCACAAAGAGGCACUACAGAAAAUCCCAGAAUUUAUUCCGACUGAAGCAAUAUGCAACUGGCAAAACUGGCAGCUGAAAGGAUCCUGAAUCAGAAGGCCUCCCUAUUUCCUGCGACACAACAAUAUUAAAAUUAGGCCAUUUAAUAAUAUAAAAUAGUCUCUAAAUGUUCCAUGGAAAGGAAGAGUUGCAAGUCUCUCGCUUUCAACUGAAAGUCAGAAAUGAUUAACUUUACUGAGGAAAGCAUGCCAAAACUCAAAGACAGGCCAAAAACUAGAUCUCCUGCAUCAGUUAACUACAUUGUAAAUGCAAAAGAAAAAUUUUGGAAGGAAGUUAAAGUGCUGCUCCAGUGAACUUUAUGAAUGAUGAUAAAACCAAAGAGGCCUAUAGAUGAUAUGGAGAAAAUAUUAGUGAUCUGGAUAGAGGAUGAAGCAAGCCAUAGCAUUCUUUUAAGCCAAAGCCUAACCUACAACAAGGCUCUAUUCUCUUCAAUUCUGUGAAGGCUGAGAGAGGUGAGGAAGCUGCAGAGGAAAAUUUAAAGAUAGUCGUAGUGAGUUCUAGAGAUUUAAGGAAAGAAGCUGUCCCCAUAACAUAAAAGUACCAGAUGGAGCAGUAAGUGUUGAUAUAGAAGCUGCAGCUAGUUAUACAGAAGAUCUAGCUGAGCUAAAUGAUGAAGGUGUCUACAUUAAAUAACAGAUUUGUAUUGUAGAUAAAGCAACCUUCUGUUGGAAUAAGAUGUCAUCUGGGACUUUGAUAGCUCAAAAGAAGUCAUUGCCUGGUUUCAAAGCUUUAAAGGACAGAAUGACUUUCUUGUUAGGGGCUAAAGCAGCUUGUGAUAAGUGGAAGCCAAUGCUCAUUCAUCUUUCCAUUAAUCCUAGGGCCCUUAAUAAUUAAAUUUACUCUGCCUGUGCUCUAUCAAUGAAACAACAAAGCCUGGAUAAUAGCACAUCUAUUUGUAGCAUGGUUUACUGAAGAUUUAUACGCAUUUUUGAGAUUUACUGCUCAGAAAAAAAGAUUUCCUUCAAAAUAUUACUGCUCAUUGACAAUGCACCUAGUUACACAAGAGCCCUACAAAGAGAUCAAUGUUGUUUGCAUACAUAACACAGCAUCCAUUCUGCAGCACAUGGAUCAAGGAGCAAUUUUGACUUACAAGUGUUAUUAGUUAAGAAAUGUACUUCAUAAACCUAUAGUUGCUAUAAAUAGUGAUUCCUCUGAUGGACCUGUGCUAAGAAAAUUGAAAAUCUUGUGGAAAGAAGUCAUCAUUCUAGAUGCUAUUAAGAACAUUCAUCAUUUAUGGAAAAAGGUGAAAACAUCAACAUUAAUAGGAGUUUGGAAGAAGUGGAUUCCAAACCCCAUGGAUGACCUUGAGUGAGUCAAGACUUCAGUGGAGGAAGUAACUGCAGAUGUUGUGAAAAUACCAAAAACCUAGAAUUAGAAGUGGACCCUGAAGAUCUGAAUAAAUUGCUGUCAUCUCAUGAUAAAAUUUUAAUGGAAGAGGAAGUGCUUCUUAUAGAUGAACAAAAGGAAUGGUUUCUCUAGUUGGAAUGCACUCAUAGUGAAGAUGUUACGAACAUUGUUGAAAUGACAACAAAUAAUUUAGUGUAUUACAUAAACUUAGUUAAUAAGGAAGUAGCAAGGUUUGAAAGGAUUGACUCCAUCCAAUUUUGAAAGAUGUUCUAUUGUGGGUAAAAUGCCAUCAAACGGCAUCACAUGCUACACAUAAAUAUUUCAUGAAAGGAAGAGUCAAAUAAUGCAACAAACUGCAUUGCUUUCUUAUUUUAAGAAAUUGCCGCAGCCACCCCAGUCUUCAGCAACUACUAUCCUAAUCAGUCAGUAGCCAUCAAAGUUGAAGAAAGACCAUACAUCUGAAAAAGAUUACAACUCACUGAAGAUGAUAGUUAACAUUUGUUAGCAUGAAGCAUUUUAAUUAAGGCAUGUAUGUUUGUAGACAUGAUGCUAUUUCACACAUAAUAGACUAAGGUAUAGUGUAAUCAUAACUUUUAUAUGCACUGAAAAACCAAAAAAAUUGUGACACCUGCUUUAUUGUGAUAUUCACUUUAAUGUGGUGGUCUGAAACUGAACCCACAAUAUCUCGAAGUUAUGUCUGUAAACCAAUAUGCGUUUAUUGCUGUGAAAAUAUUUUGUAUAUGCCAUUAACGUCUACAAUUGGUUCACUUUAAAUAAAGGAGUUUAUCUCCGGUAA
rnacentral:lncRNA from 1 species